AGACCAUGGUGUGGGCAUUUUCUAAAAAGUUUCUUAAGUAUCUCCCAUGAUUCGUGAAUUUGUUCUCCUGAAAGCUGAGCAAAUCCAGUGAUAUCUCUCCUCAUGGU